UCUUUCUUUGGCUUCCCACCAAUACCUGAACUCUUCUUAUGCUUUGAGUCCAUCACAUAAAUAUCUUUCCCAAGCAUACUCUCACCACUAUACGCAGGUCCAUAGAGCUCUUCAAAAGCGGUAGCGAUCUCUUCCUCUGUCUCGUCGCUUCCUUCGUCGAAAUACGGAGGAGAGACGAAUCCUUCGGGAGCAAUUGGUGGGUCGAAGACGACAUUUGCGGUUAUUUCUGGUGUUUCGUCUUCGAAGAAGAUGGUUUCGGUAUCGGUCGAUGAGGCUUUGACGAGAGUGAGAGAUGAGAAGCGGCGGUUGAGGAAGGAGGAGAAAGAGACGAUGGAUUUUGUGGAGGAAGAGGAGAUGAGAGAAGAGGUUCGGGUGUGGAGUGAGAGUGAAGAGAGUGAUGAGAGAGCUGAUGCUGUCGCCAUUGAAAUGGAGGAGCUUUUUUGGAUGAGGAAGGAAGUGAGAAUGAAGCAAAAGGCUUAUCCAGCACCAG
rnacentral:lncRNA from 1 species